CAAAAUUAUCACCACCACCACCAACACCCACUCAUAGUUUCUCCGGGUAAUGGCAAUUUCAACCUUGUUAAUUCUUUUUUUUAUCAUGAACUUUGCACUUAAUAAAGAAAAAGCA